rnacentral:misc_RNA from 1 species
CCCUCUCAACCUAUCAAUUUGAACAUAAACAAGACUAAAUCAGAUUAGCAAAAUUUACUUCUUAAUCUGUCAGCAAACAGAGUGUGGUAAGCAUAAUAAUACUGAAUAAACUCAGAAAACUAAUACGUGCAUGUGAUCUGGUAUCUGUUUGACAAAAAUGAAAGAGACUAAAAUUACAAUCCAAUGCACCAAUAAAAUAGAUAGGCUGAGAUUUUCUUUGAAGCUUCUGGAUAAAAGAAAAAAAAAUUGAAUUUUGAAAAAGAAGUGGGG